rnacentral:rRNA from 1 species
GAUGAACGCUGGCGGCGUGCCUAAUACAUGCAAGUAGAACGCUGAAGGAGGAGCUUGCUCUUUCCGGAUGAGUUGCGAACGGGUGAGUAACGCGUAGGUAACCUGCCUGGUAGCGGGGGAUAACUUUUGGAAACGAUAGCUAAUACCGCAUAACAGUAGAUAUUGUAUGAUAUUUGCUUGAAAGGGGCAUUUGCUCCACUACAAGAUGGACCUGCGUUGUAUUAGCUAGUGGGGGAGGUAACGGCUCACCAAGGCGACGAUACAUAGCCGACCUGAGAGGGUGAUCGGCCACACUGGGACUGAGACACGGCCCAGACUCCUACGGGAGGCAGCAGUAGGGAAUCUUCGGCAAUGGACGGAAGUCUGACCGAGCAACGCCGCGUGAGUGAAGAAGGUUUUCGGAUCGUAAAGCUCUGUUGUAAGAGAAGAACGAGUGUGAGAGUGGAAAGUUCACACUGUGACGGUAUCUUACCAGAAAGGGACGGCUAACUACGUG